rnacentral:rRNA from 1 species
UACGAAGGGGGCUAGCGUUGCUCGGAAUCACUGGGCGUAAAGCGCACGUAGGCGGUUUCUUAAGUCAGGGGUGAAAUCCUGGAGCUCAACUCCAGAACUGCCUUUGAUACUGAGGAGCUUGAGUCCGGGAGAGGUGAGUGGAACUGCGAGUGUAGAGGUGAAAUUCGUAGAUAUUCGCAAGAACACCAGUGGCGAAGGCGGCUCACUGGCCCGGUACUGACGCUGAGGUGCGAAAGCGUGGGGAGCAAACAGG